GAGGCUCUAGCUCAGUGGUAAAGCACAUGCUUCGCAUGCACAAGGUCCUAGGUUCAAUCCCCAGGACCUCCA
rnacentral:tRNA from 1 species